UUUCUUGACCCAAAAUCCCACACUCCAAGCUGAGCUCCUGUGACUAUGCAUACGCCAGAGAGAUCACCUAUAAAGCUUUCAGGGUUCUCAAUUGGUGCAGUGCUUACAUGAGAGAAUUUCUUCCAUUUAACUGGCUCAAACCAUCGACUAUCCUGCUCCUCAGGUCCCUGCCACUUGGGUGCACCAAUUGAAACAUGGGUGUCCCAGUACGGAAGAAGGAUUUUAGGAAGGGAUGCUAAGUGUUGAAUAUGGAUACUUAGCCGAUUCUGCUUAGCUCCUUCAAGAGAUAAUCGCAUGCCUGUAGCAGGCUUACGUCCAACUGAUAUCUGCUCCUGGCUUACAUAAAGAUUUGGUCCCAUCAUACUGAAUUGCAGAGAUGGGCAAACAGGUUCCUUUCUUUGGU
rnacentral:misc_RNA from 1 species